AGCUUUAAGUUUUAUUUAAAGUGAGACCUGCCCAGUGCUAAUUAGUAAACGGCCGCAGUACCUUGACUGUGCUAAGGUAGCAUAAUCAGUUGGCUUUUAAAUGGAGUCGGGAAUGAAUGGAUUAAUAGGGUUAAGCUGUCUCUACUAUAUUAAAUUGAACUUACUUAUUAGGUGAAAAUGCCUAAGUUGUAAAAGAAAAAAGACGAGAAGACCCUAGGAGUUUUAACUAGAUGCUAUUUAUUAUAGUUAAUGUUUUUGUUGGGGCGACAUUGGAACAAUUUUAUUUAACUUCCUUUAUGUUUAUAGGCCGACUUUGUAUGUAAAUCUAAACUACCCUAGGGAUAACAGCGUAAUUCUUUUUGAGCUUGCGACCUCGAUGUUGGACUAGGAAUUUGGUGGGCUAGCCGCCUA
rnacentral:rRNA from 1 species